rnacentral:tRNA from 1 species
UGCGCCGCUAGCUCAGUUGGUUAGAGCAGCUGACUCUUAAUCAGCGGGUCCGGGGUUCGAGUCCCUGGCGGCGCACAUA